rnacentral:lncRNA from 10 species
GGCCACUUCAAGAAUAUACUGUCUUUAAAACACCUUGAUAUACAAGCUAGUAGACCUUGAGAACCUGCACCUAGAAGAGGAAUGGAUAUCACCUGAACGUACCUGAAGAACAGCCCACAACGUGAUAUUCAGUUGUCUCCUGCUGGGAAGGGCGUGAAUGUAUUUGUGAUUAAAUGAGGGAGAGGUGGAUUACAUUAAAUGGGGAGACCUUCAGAAUUAGCAAUUUCUGCUAAUGGAGCAGGGGGUACCAGCAUGUGCGGAGCGACCACGAUGUGUACUGGAUGCAUUAAACCUCUCCUGAAGGGUCUGCCCAUCUCUUGAUGUGUGUACUCCAGAUUGAGAGCAUCGUUGUGAUGAAACUGCGUUAGCUUAAGGGACCCACCAUGAACAAAGUAAUGCCUCCUUCCCCAGGGAAGCUCUCAUCCAAUGAUUAUCAAUAGGGUAUUAUAAUUACUUGCCCCUCUUCUUCCAGUUUGGGACAGUUCUUCAGAGUGAUCUCAGUUCUACAGCUCUUUGGGCACUGGAUUGCAGCUCCUCUUUUCCUUCUGCUUCAUCCUGCUUUCUUCUCUUCACUCCCCCACAUUUGUAUUCCCAAGAACAUGCUCCUGCAAUAACAUUGUGAUGUGCACAUCUCCAACACAGCAUCUGCUUCCCAGGGAAUCCAAUCCGUGACAAGCACUAAAAUAAACUUUACUUUACU